CCUCGCCUCACCACAAUCUCCUUUCAGGCAGUUGUAGAGAGCAAUAAGGUCUCCCUUGAGCCUCCUCCAAAACGAACAGUCCCAGUUUCCUCAGCUGCUCCCCAUAAAGUUUGUGCUCCAGACCUUGUCAGGAGCUAGUGUGACUGAGCCGUGAUGCUGCCCUUCGCCUACAGCCGGUUGUCCAUUCUGUGCUGCUCACAUGGACAGAGCAGCCUUUCUGCAGAAGGUGUGCAACGACCGAGUGGAGACCCCGUCCUCAGCUCUACUAAGGAGUUGAAGGAAUAACGGCUGCUGAGAAGAUGGGCUGCCACUACCAGCAAAAAGCAAACCAGCCACAGAAGUGGUUUUGUAACACAAAGGUGUUUGCUGGGAAGCUUCCUCUGAAUGUUGCAUAGUUGCUUUUUUUCCCUUGAAUUGAGAAGCAUCCAAUCAUUUAAGAGCGUGGGGAACAAAGCCUGGGAGUGGGAUCUGGGGCAUAGUUGGAGUAAAAGCAUAGAGCUCAACCUUCUACUGACUUGCAGGCUGUAGAUCCAUCCCUGGCUACGCUCAGCCUUUCCUCCCAGCAUGACUGUCAGAGCUGCCUCCCUUCAGUCUCUCAUGAAGGAAGUCAUAAUAGGAACACAUUUGUCUUGUCAACAUUUCUGUCACUUCUGCUGUUCUCAGGCUCUAAGAAGUCAAAGCUUCUGUUAAAUAGAAUAUAAACUGAUUGUCUAAUGCACUGAGCUGCAUCUUUCUGAGCACUCUAAGGUCUUAGUUUUAUUAAAUCUUAUUUACAAGUGCAAAUUGCACUUAGUACAACAUACUUCCAUCCUUGAAGCUUUGAAGCACUGGGCAACAUGCACUGAACGUUCCCUUUAUCAUGGGAUAUUUUCUGUUGUUUUCAAGCCCUUCAUUUCUAAGGCACACGUAUACAAGGCUGAGAGAAAAGGGUCGAUACGUACAGCAUAGGCAGUUAGUGAAGUUCACACAAACACUCGUUCUUUCUCCCUGCAAAAAGAAAAAAGUUACCUGUCAUAACGCAUUAAAAUUCUUCUACAAGAAGAGUGCUCUCAACACAAAUUAAUUCUCCCUCAUGGUAGGCUUUGCAGUUAAGUAAGGAUUAAUAUUGCAUGUCGAGGAAAGAUAAAUGUAAAGAGGGUAAAAAUAACCUCUCAUGCAUUUAAUAAGACAUUGGAGACCAAGAAGCUAAGGCUCUGCAAAUACACGGUUUUGUCUACAUGCUUCUCAUAUAAGAGAUGCAUGUUGUGUUCUCUUCCAGAUGAUGUAAUCCUCAGGGUGACCCUCAUGUGCUUUUGCCAUCAUAUGACACUCCUCUACUGGAUAUACAAAGUUCCUUUGUGUACAGAUUCCUUAUUUAUAACUCUUAGAAUUUUGAUCAGAGCAUUAUUUUUUUUUUCUUUUUGCGGAGACUACUUUUAAUUUGAAGAUGAAGAUUUGGAGAUGGAUAUAACUUGUCUUUUGAGUAUUUAUGCAAUCUCAUUUUCAUGACUCUGAAACUGCAUCCUUUCAAUUACAGAUAAAGAAGUACUGCUUUAUUUCUCAUUCACAAGGAGAUUAAACCAGCAACUGCAAUAAAAAUUUAAAAUUUA